UCGUCAUUAUCUUUUUAUAUAUUUUAAGUUUUGGUCUCUGAAACUUUAUGGCCGUUUUAAUAUCCUCUCUUCAUAUAAUCUGCUAUUUCUAAAUGUUUCCCAGAAUCCAUCUCAUUUAUUUUUCAUUAAAAUCAGCAUGUAAAUAGUUUGUUAAAGUUGUGACAUUUGUAUCCUGUUAGAGUUGUGAAUUGUGACUUAAAAAAUAACUAAUGGCCUGUCUUAACUCUAUUAACAAUCAGUUAAAUUUCAGAUGUUUCCCUUUUUUAAUCAAGCGGAUUUUGUAUGAAAAUAGAUUUCUGUUUCAAGAUUGUUCAUAGUCGAUACUCUCUCGCAUAGUAUGUUUCACAUAGCUGGAAGAAUCUUCAACUUCAUCUUCAUUUUGUGUGUCAACCAGAUCUCACUAUCUUGUUGGUUCUUUUCAGUGAUGAUGACUUUUCCUAAAAAAGAUAUUUCUGUGUGAGCUGUGAUCACAUAUUGCCACUAUUUGUUUUUAAAUUUGUCAUGCCACAAUAUUUGAAGUCUCUUGAUUAAAAUAAGUUAUGUUAAUCCUACUUAGGCCUCUUGUCUAGAUACGUAUUUAAUGCAUAGUCAUUUUGCUGUCGAGCAUAGGGAACUCUUUUCUUAUAGUAAGCUGAAGAUGAAUAACACAAUUUGAAUAGAUGUUGCUGUUUUCUCUCUUUCGAUUGUUCUUAUAUGAUAAUAAUGUUAUACAAACUAAAGUCCCUAUACAACUACAAAUGUAGCCCUUUUCUUUCUCUAUUCAACCCAAAUUAAAUAUCGAUUUGUUUAGUGGAUUCAAUAUUAUUUAGGGGUAGCAACUUCAAAUGAGUAACUCUUCAACUGGUUGUUUCUAUGUUCACACGUUGAGUCGCAAGCAUGAAGUUUCAGUAAAACUUGUUUUUAUUUUUGGAAUCUAUCCUCCAUAAACUGAGUUUACGGGAAUUAAAGUGCCCUCCCACACUAUGUAUGGUUUUAAUAUUUCAGUGGUUAUCCUUUAAAUGUUAUUUUCUGUUUUGCUAGCAUGCUCCGAUGAAUACGGUGCUACAAACAAAGUACUCUUCCUAUGUCUAGAAUUACUCGUGUUAGACCGAUAAGUUUGAAAUUCGUUAGAGUAACUCCUUCUUGAGUGAAAAUUGCUUUGCCAUAAUCAUGUUUAAUAAAUUUGGUUCUGUAAUAUGAGUUUGCACCUAUUUUAGCAUCAAGGAAGAUCAAUUUGUCUUUCAAAAGAAAUCUUAGAAUCCCCCCCGACUCAAUCUUGCAUUCCCUUAACACUAAUUAUACAUAUUAUUUCUUGAAGAUAUUUAAUCCUAUCUAAAUUAAUCUAUUUGGAUUUGGACUUGCUUGUUAAGAUAUGGUAGUGUUGAAACUUGUGUCAAGCUAAAUCUGAUCAUUGAGUUUGAUAAACCACGAUUCUUGUAAGUCUCCGUAACAUCAUACAUAUUUUCAUUUGAUAGUUGUUUCUUUUAAAAUCCUAACCCAUCUUGAAUUUGUCUACAUGGUUAAAUUUAGGAACUUUCAAAUAUUUUUACUCUUUCCAUAGUGACUAGAAGAAUUCUCUGUUAAUGCAUAAUACUUUGAAUCUGAUGUAGUCGAAUUUAGUUCCCUCUAUUGAUAAUCAAAGUUAUUUGUCGCUUAAGCAUCUACAACAUAUUAUUAACUUGACUCUUGUCUAGUGAAUUUAUCUUGAUUGUGCUAUAAAGUUUGACCCCACCUUGUAUUUUUUACUUGGCUCUAUUUUAAUCUUUGUCAUCAACUCCAUGCUCUGUUUCAGCUUUUCUUUUUAUAAAAAAAACGAAAAAACUUUUCCUUUCAAAUUUUGAUCAGUAUGCUUACAAUUUUUGUGUUUCAUGAAUGGUUCUGUGUUUAAGAGGAUUGAAAUAUUCUCCUGUUACUAGCUAGUACAGUACUGCAAAUAUGACAUAACAGUAGUCGUUAAGUUUCAACUUUAUAAAUCAUUCAACUGUAUGAUAAUUGUGCUUAACUUUCCCAUAAAUUAGAACAUCUAUAAUGGAACGAGAACUCAUUAAUAUGUUAGUUACGGUCUUCCUCUGGUUUAGUGUUUUUUUUAUACUUUGUUAGCAAGUUAAUUACUAGUUUACCGUGGAAAUGGGAUUAAAGGUGAAAAAUAUUCAUUAUCCUUUCUUUAGGAAGUCAUGUGUGUUAAUACUGUGAUAAUUAUUUCUCUCAUUUUUUUUACAUGUACACUCGGGCCCCCUUUUGGAGUUAUUAUAUGAGCCCUUUUGGAGUUAUUAUAUGACUCCAUCUCUUUCCAAACAGAGAAGUGAAUAAUAGCCACAUAAACUCGUAUCUAGCAUCUUCAUCACGUUAAAUAGCGUCCAACGCUUCCUCUCCACUUCAAUGUUUCACGUGUUUUAUGUAUACAUGAAUCUGCAUUUUUUGGGUCUUCUUCUUCGUGAUUUGUACGUUUCUGCAGCUACAGUGGACAAACUACAAAUUGGUCAUCAAGCUCAGCUCACUGCUCAAAAAAGAGGAUAUUCCAUAUUUAAUGGAUAGUGGAGAUAAAAGUUGGAUGAGUUUCCGGAGAUCCACCAAUGAGUAUAUCAGUGGUGUGAAUAACUUUCUUUAUACAACUUUUGAAUUAGCUUCCAGAGGAUAUUAUAUAUUGUGUCCUUGCAAAAAGUGUGCUAAUUGUAAAUGGCAUCAACAAAAUGUUGUACAGGAACACUUGGUUGUUUUUGGGUUUGUACAAGGGUACACCAAAUGGAUUUUUCAUGGGGAAAGUAUUUCCUUGAGAAAUAUUCCAGGUCAUAAUAAGGAAGGUUCCAACAUGCGUGACAAUAUUGAUGGCCUACUUUAUGAUACUUUUAGAGAUGUUGCAGGUGAUUUGGGGCUUGAGGGAGUGAGAGAGGGUUUAUCCGAAGAUGCAAAGAAAUUUUAUAAACUACUGGAGUAAGGUAAACAAAAGUUAUAUUCUGGGCGUAAGAAUUUCUCUUUAAUGAAUUUCACCAUUCGAUUAUUCUUGUUCUAAUGCAUUCAUGGUUACAGUAAUGUGGCCUUUGGAGACUUGCUAGACCUGUUAAGAGAGGCAUUUCCAUUUGCUCAUAUACUCGAGUCGUUUCACAAAGCAAAAAAUGUGAUGAAAGAUUUGGAUCUUGAUUAUGAAAAAAAUACAUGCAUGCCCUAAUGAUUGCAUAUUCUUUUUGAAGGAAAAUGACAAAGAAAAUAAUUGUUGUGUUUGUGGCUCGUCGAGAUGGAUGACUGUUAGUGAUCCUUUGACUAAUGAAAGCACCAAAAUUCCUGCAAAGGUUUUAAGGUACCUUCCCUUAAAACCUAGGCUUCAAAGCUUACCCAUGUAUCCUGAAACAGUUUCAAAUAUGAAAUGGCAUGAUACUGAACGACCGAAAGAUGGAAAUAUAAGGCAUGCGGCUGCCGUGGAAGCUUGGAAGAAUUUUGAUUCUUUGCACGAAGAUUUUGCUAGAGAUCCUCGUAAUGUUAGAUUGGGUUUUUCAAGUGAUGGUUUCAACCCGUUUCGAAACAUGAAUAUGAAUUUGUUUUUCAUAUUUACUCUUUAUGUGUGUACUUGAAUUCUAUUGUUUUUUUAAUAAUAAAACUGCAUUAUAUCUAAGAUGGAGAAUAUUGAAAUGCAACAAAAAGAAAAUGGAAAUGAGACAAUUGAUGCAUUUUCUUCUAUCAUGGGAUUAGAACAUCCAGGACGUUUGAGAUUAUAUGGAAGAAGGGUUACAAAAACUACUUUAAAAGGGAAAGUGGGACGUUUUGAAGCCUUGUCAAAUGCAACAAAUGACCUUGUGAAAAAGAUGGAACAAAGACUGAUGAGAAUGGAGGAAAAAAUUGAGGAACAGAAAGAACAAUAGGACCAACAAAAGACCACGAUGCGACAAGAAUUGUAGAAGAUGUCAUAAAAAAACUUCAACAUUCAGGCCUACCAAUUGAUGCUAAUGUUCUAGCAACAUUACUUGAUGUUUCGUCAACACAAAAAACAAAAAUUCAAUCAGUCCAUCGUUCAUCAAUCUGUAGCAACAAUUAAGUUGAACAAAAUGAUGAGACAAGCGGGGAUGAAAGCAGCGAAGACCUUACUUAAAAAUUGGUUUUUACAAAUAUUCUAGCACUAUUUAACUUUUUGGCCUAAUUUUGUGAACUUAAAUGAAUGCCAACUCUUGGACAUUCUAACACUAUUUUUACUUUUUGGCCUAAUUUUCUGUAGUUGAAUGAAUGUCAACUCUCAAACAUUCUAGGAAUAUUUUAAUGUUUAGACUUAGUUUUUGUGAACAUCAAUGUAUGUUAACUCUUGAUGUACAAAGAUCAUAUGUUUUUAUAUAUAAUAUAUGAAUUCUACAAGUUGAUGUA